AUGGUUUCCGGAUGAUAACUCAAGAACGCUUAGGCCUAGGAUCAUGAAACUUCACAGGUACAUUGCUCAUGACUGGCAGAUGACCCCUAUUGAUUUUGAGGUCACUAGGUCAAAGGUCAAGGUCACAGUGACUCGAAAUAGUAAAACGGUUUCUGGAUGAUAACUCAAGAACGCUUACGUCUAGGAUCAUGAAACUUCAUAGGUACAUUGAUCAUGACUGGCAGAUGACCCCUAUUGAUUUUCAGGUCACUAGGUCAAAGGUCAAGGUCACAGUGACUCAACACAGUAAAAUGGUUUCCUGAUGAUAACUCAAGAAUAAUUAGGCCUAUGAUCAUGAAACUUCAUAGGUACAUUGAUCAUGACUGGCAGAUGACCCCUAUUGAUUUUCAGGUCACUAGGUCAAAGGUCAAGGUCACAGUGACAAAAAACGUAUUCACACAAUGGCUGCCACUACAACUGACAGCCCAUAUGGG